GAUGAACGCUGGCGGCGUGCCUAAUACAUGCAAGUCGAGCGAAUAGACGAGGAGCUUGCUCCUCUGACGUUAGCGGCGGACGGGUGAGUAACACGUGGAUAACCUACCUAUAAGACUGGGAUAACUUCGGGAAACCGGAGCUAAUACCGGAUAAUAUAUUGAACCGCAUGGUUCAAUAGUGAAAGACGGUUUUGCUGUCACUUAUAGAUGGAUCCGCGCCGCAUUAGCUAGUUGGUAAGGUAACGGCUUACCAAGGCGACGAUGCGUAGCCGACCUGAGAGGGUGAUCGGCCACACUGGAACUGAGACACGGUCCAGACUCCUACGGGAGGCAGCAGUAGGGAAUCUUCCGCAAAGGGCGAAAGCCUGACGGAGCAACGCCGCGUGAGUGAUGAAGGUCUUCGGAUCGUAAAACUCUGUUAUUAGGGAAGAACAAAUGUGUAAGUAACUAUGCACGUCUUGACGGUACCUAAUCAGAAAGCCACGGCUAACUACGUG
rnacentral:rRNA from 1 species